rnacentral:tRNA from 1 species
GGGUAUAUAGCUCAAGUGGCAGAGUGCAUGUUUAGUAUGCAUGAGGUUCUGAGUUCAAUCCCUGAUAUGUCCU